rnacentral:rRNA from 1 species
GUGCCAGCCGCCGCGGUAAUACGGAGGGUGCAAGCGUUAUCCGGAAUCAUUGGGUUUAAAGGGUCCGUAGGCGGGCAAUUAAGUCAGGGGUGAAAGUUUGCGGCUCAACCGUAAAAUUGCCUUUGAUACUGGUUGUCUUGAAUUAUUAUGAAGUGGUUAGAAUGAGCAGUGUAGCGGUGAAAUGCAUAGAUAUUGCUCAGAAUACCAAUUGCGAAGGCAGAUCACUAAUAAUAUAUUGACGCUGAUGGACGAAAGCGUGGGGAGCGAACAGGAUUAGAUACCCGAGUAGUCC